AUGAACAGGUUUUUUUUUUUCAAGAUUUGUUUUCCUGGAAACUUUGGUUUUCUCUGCCUAGCUUUAUGGACUAUGGAUUUGUGAGAUGCCCAGCUGCUCCAGAGCACCCUCUGUUGAUACAUUCCAUGCUGUGGCAACCAUCCAAGCUGAGCCUGUGGAUAUGUGACAUGCCCUCAUACAAACACACUACAGAGGCUCCUAAGAAGGCUCUCCAGGCCCUGGGAUUCAGCUCUGUGGUGCCACUGCCUGCCUCACAAACGCAAGGACCCAAGUUUGAUCCCCAGUGCACACACACACACACACACACACACA
rnacentral:lncRNA from 1 species